UAGGUUUUUUGUGAUAGAUGAGUGGCACGUGUUGAGUGGGUGUUUUCUCCAGGGAAUCCUCAAAGAUCGUCGUCCAUCCGACGUCGGGGAUUGAGCGGGACACAGUCAAGAAGAUCAGAGCUGGAGCUAGAUUUUCGCAGCAAAUCAAGUUCUGGCAGUCUUCGAAGAACGACCAUAAAUUCCUCUACAGAAAUCUGAUUGAGGUGAAAUAGGCGGCCACGGAAAGGUUUCUGAAGGACGAAGAAGUCGUAUUUCUGGGAAAAAUACGAUUCGAGGACGUUUGAGGCUUCAAACGAAGGGUUGAAGUUUGACGACCUGUUCAGCGACGAAUUGAUGAAUUCUUAAGAAUUCUUCAGAACGAAGCACAACGAAGAACAUGAGGCCUGGACGAAGAACAUGGGGAACUAUGCGAGUUUAGCAUGCAACGCCGCGCCUCCGGCAGGCGCCGGUGUACCUAGCGCACUCAAGAUUCGUGGGAUACAGCCGCCCGGCGCGAAGGUGCUUCUGGAAACCGUGGCAGCCCUCUGGCAUUUCCUCGCGCUACCGCCGCAAUGCUCCUCGUUGGCGUUGAGGGCUGAGGUUGCUCCGGCAACCUCUGCCUGCUCGACGGCUAUGCAACGAAUAGUUUUGGCAGAAGGGCGUCGCGGCUUCAGCAGUUUCGUGAGUUCACCACGAUCGGCAUCGGGCCUGCUUCAGGUUGGCGAUGCUGAGGCUGGGCCGUGAGGGAUGGCGGAUGUGCGUCUGAGCAGGGGGGCCUGGGUGGACGUCGUGGCAGAUCGACGGAUGGCAGACGGCGGCGCCGCACUUGGCGGCGCGGAUCCCUAGCUGCUAAAAGGAGGAAGACGCGGGUCAGAGUGGCUGGGUUCGCGGAUCCUGGUGUCUGGAUCCGGGUCUGGAAGGGUUUUGGGCUGCAUUUCAUGGGCCGUUUUGGAUCUGGGCUUGCGGAUUAGAAGAAGAAGGGUAAUUUUAAACAUAGCUCCCAAUUUUCUCAAUAUAGCCACUUAUUUUAAAAAAUAAUAAAAAUAAUUAUGAU